GGAGACGAGGUUUGCAGCCACCUCCGUGGAGGAUGGAGCAGCUUCUCCAUUCCCUAUGCUGUGCUGCGGCAACCAGAUUGAUGAGGCUUUGCUGGAGGAAGACUCCCCAUCAGGCCCCGUCCUGGCCAUGUGGAGUGGACAAGUGAGCAGAUGAAUGAAUGGGUAAGCUGCUGCCAACCUGGGGUUGCUGUCCUGUGACGUAUCUCAUGUCAGUCCAGUUUUGCUCACGAGGAGAACAGGGCCAAGUAACGCAGACCAGGCCCACAGGACGGCGAGGACCCACCUCCCUGCUGCAGUGAGGGAGGGCACUCGGGCCAGGAGCCAGAAGCAGAGCGUGUGGAGCCCUGCAGGCAGUGACCAGCAGGUGUCCUGUCAUGAAGGGCCUUGAGCUGUGCAAGUUCGGACUUUGUCCUGAGGGAGGAAGGGACAGCAGUCUGCAGGCCCUGCCACACAAAGCUCCCAGGGACCCUGUCAUCGCGCCACUCUCAGCUCUACAACCCAUGCAUAGUUUGGAUGUUAAUUCCACUGCUUUUUUUUUAAUGGCUGUGCUGGAUCUUUGUUGCUGCUCAUGGGCUUUCUCCAGUUGUGGCAAGUGGGGCCUACUCUCUAGGUGUGGUGUUCGGGGCUCACUGCCAUGGUUUUCAGGGUGCAGAGCACGGGCCCUAGCGCUCACAGGCUUCAGCAGUUGCGGCUCAGGCUUGGUAGUUGUGGCUCAUGGGCUGUGUUGUCCCGAGGUGUGUAGGAUCUUCCCAGACCAGGACUCGAACCCAUGUCCCCUGCAUUGGCAGGUGGAUUCUUUACCGCUGAGCCACCAGGGAGGCCCUCCCCUGCUUUCUGGCAGAGUCCUUUCCCCCAGGCCCCAACAGGCUCACCUGUGAAGCUUGUCCCCCCGACAGCCCCUGGCACAGUGGGGUCCAGGGGGUGACUUGAGGGCCGUGGUGAACUCUGAGGCAGGGAGCUCAUGCCAGAAAGAAGCAGCACCCUCAUGAGAAAUGACUCUACGUGGGGAGGGGUGGGUGGCAAGGAGUGAUUUUAAGAAUCACAAAGCCUACCACAUACCAAGCGAGCUCGCAGGGACCCUCGUGGCAUCUCUGUGCGGGACACAUAACUGUCGCAGUCUAAGAACAGAGAACCAGAGAGGACAACGGGUUUAAAAUGUCACGUGUGUUUUUUUUUUAUUAUAGCAGUAAUCAUGCAUCAAGUGAAGAAUGUUUUUCCUAUUAACGUUAAAUUUCAAUAUUUACAUAUUUAUUAGCAUGUAAAAUCCAAUUUCCUACAGUGUUUACUUCAAUUAAUUUGGCUGAUUCUAAUUAUUUUUUCUAAUUUGUUUUUCAUUUUACUUUUCAGUAUUUCCUCCUUUAUCUUUUUAACUGGCUAAGUGCUCAGAUUUUUCUUUCAUUAUUAAUUCUAAGCCCCUUUUUUAGGGAAUGGUCAGUAUAGAUCUUCCUGUACAAGUGCGGCCACCUCCGCACAGGUGAUGGUUAAUCUGAAGACCUCAGUCUCACAAAUCAGAGCCUGUGAAUUCUGGAGACACAGAAUCUACCUUAUUAUUUUAUAAGUUUUUGUCUUAUAAUAGAGCCACAGAAAAACCCAUAAAACAUGCAUGUAACAGUUUACUGACAUAAACCAGCAUCUGUGUCCUUGCCACCAAAUCAGGAAACAGAACACUGCAGACUCAAGGGUGCAGCUCACCUCAGCCUCCCCCAGAGGUCCUGCUGACCUCAUCGAACCGCUUCCUUCUGUUUAUUUGUACUUUAAUCACCUAAGUAUACAUCCCUGAACAUUUUAGUUUGGCUUUGCCCGUUUUUUUUUUAUUAUACAAGUGAAAUGAUAGAGCCUGACUGUUGCACAUCUUGUUUCUUUCAUCCAACUUGAUGCCUCCUGUUGUGUCUCUAGUUUAUCUCUGUCAAAGCUGGUACUAAGCCAUUGUGUAAAUGUGCCAGAGUUUAUCCACGUUACUGUUGAUGAGCAUUUGAUUGUUUCUAGUUUGGGAGAUUAUGAAUAAAGCUGUUGUGAACUUUCUUAUGCUUGUGCA
ensembl:lncRNA